GGGGUUUCCUUACGGGGGGGGCAGCAGUGGGGAAUUUUGCGCAAUGGGGGCAACCCUGACGCAGCGACGCCGCGUGAGUGACGAAGGCCUUAGGGUUGUAAAACUCUGUUUAGGGGGAAGAUAGUGACGGUACCCCUGGAGGAAGCCCCGGCUAAUUACGUGCCAGCAGCCGCGGUAAGACGUAGGGGGCGAGCGUUUUCCGGAAUUACUGGGCGUAAAGGGCGUGUAGGCGGCCUGUAAAGUCAGCUGUGAAAUCCCUCGGCUCAACUGAGGGCUUGCAGUUGAAACUACCAGGCUUGAGUGCAGGAGAGGAAGGUGGAAUUCCCAGUGUAGCGGUGAAAUGUGUAGAUAUCGGGAGGAACACCGGUGGCGAAGGCGGCCUUCUGGCCCAUAACUGACGCUGAGGCGCGAAAGCUAGGGGAGCAAACAGGAUUAGAUACCCUGGUAGUCCUAGCUGUAAACGAUGGCUACUAGGUGUAGGGGGUUUAGACCCCCUCUGUGCCGUAGCUAACGCAUUAAGUACUCCGC
rnacentral:rRNA from 1 species